AAUGUGAACGUUACCAAACUGUUGCCUCGGCGGGAUCUCUGCCCCGGGUGCGUCGCAGCCCCGGACCAAGGCGCCCGCCGGAGGACCAACCAAAACUCUUAUUGUAUACCCCCUCGCGGGUUUUUUUAUAAUCUGAGCCUUCUCGGCGCCUCUCGUAGGCGUUUCGAAAAUGAAUCAAAACUUUCAACAACGGAUCUCUUGGUUCUGGCAUCGAUGAAGAACGCAGCGAAAUGCGAUAAGUAAUGUGAAUUGCAGAAUUCAGUGAAUCAUCGAAUCUUUGAACGCACAUUGCGCCCGCCAGUAUUCUGGCGGGCAUGCCUGUCCGAGCGUCAUUUCAACCCUCGAACCCCUCCGGGGGGUCGGCGUUGGGGAUCGGCCCUGCCUUGGCGGUGGCCGUCUCCGAAAUACAGUGGCGGUCUCGCCGCAGCCUCUCCUGCGCAGUAGUUUGCACACUCGCAUCGGGAGCGCGGCGCGUCCACAGCCGUUAAACACCCAACUUCUGAAAUGUUGACCUCGGAUCAGGUAGGAAUACCCGCUGAACUUAAGCAUAUCAAUAAGCGGAGGAAAAGAAACCAACAGGGAUUGCCCCAGUAACGGCGAGUGAAGCGGCAACAGCUCAAAUUUGAAAUCUGGUCCCUAGGGCCCGAGUUGUAAUUUGUAGAGGAUGCUUUUGGUGAGGUGCCGCCCGAGUUCCCUGGAACGGGACGCCACAGAGGGUGAGAGCCCCGUCUGGCUGGCCGCCGAGCCUCUGUAAAGCUCCUUCGACGAGUCGAGUAGUUUGGGAAUGCUGCUCAAAAUGGGAGGUAUAUGUCUUCUAAAGCUAAAUAUUGGCCAGAGACCGAUAGCGCACAAGUAGAGUGAUCGAAAGAUGAAAAGCACCUUGAAAAGAGGGUUAAAUAGUACGUGAAAUUGUUGAAAGGGAAGCGCUUGUGACCAGACUUGGGCGCGGCGGAUCAUCCGGGGUUCUCUCCGGUGCACUUCGCCGCGUCUAGGCCAGCAUCAGUUCGUCGCGGGGGGAAAAAGGCUUCGGGAACGUGGCUCCUUCCGGGAGUGUUAUAGCCCGUUGCAUAAUACCCUGCGGUGGACUGAGGACCGCCAUC
rnacentral:misc_RNA from 1 species